GACCCAAAUUAAUAGCCUGCGGCGUAAAGCGUGUUUAGAGUAAAACUACCAAUAAAGUUAAAUUUCUACUAUGCUGUAAAAAGCCCCAGUUAAAAUAAAAAUACCCCACGAAAGUGACUUUAGCAAACCCGAACACACGAUAGCCAGGACCCAAACUGGGAUUAGAUACCCCACUAUGCCUGGCCCUAAACCAAAACAGUUCAUAAACAAAACUGCUCGCCAGAGUACUACUAGCAACAGCUUAAAACUCAAGGGACUUGGCGGUGCUUUACAUCCUUCUAGAGGAGCCUGUUCUGUAAUCGAUAAACCCCGUUACACCUCACCACCCCUUGCUAAUA
rnacentral:rRNA from 1 species